CUUUGCUAAUGUUCAAGUGUAAAUUCAAAGUAAGCAAUAGGACAAUCAAGGGUCUGGGCCGCAGUCUCAUUAGUACCUUAAGUUUGUGUCAAAUCACUUGAAGACAGGAGCCAGUAUCCUGUUAGCACCAUAAACACUAAAUGAGUUGUAGUGGUUAUGGUAUGAAGACUUUAAAAUAAAAUUAUCCUCCUAGUUUAGUUUCUCCUCUUUGUGUCAGUAAUAGUCUUCCAUUGCACAAACUAUCUUUUUCUCAGCUAAUUAUUUGUAAAUUGAGUGCUCAGACUAACCCCACCCAUCAGUUAAGUAACAAAGCAUGGGAAGCCAAUUAACAUUUUGUUUGAGGUAAGUAAUAACUGGAAAACAAUAGGAAAACCCAGCAAAGCAUAAAGACAAAAUCAGUG